CCUACGGGAGGCAGCAGUGGGGGAUAUUGCACAAUGGGGGAAACCCUGAUGCAGCGACGCCGCGUGUGGGAAGACGGUCCUCUGGAUUGUAAACCACUGUCCCCAGGGACGAAGAUGACGGUACCUGGGGAGGAAGCUCCGGCUAACUACGUGCCAGCAGCCGCGGAAAUACGUAGGGAGCGAGCGUUGUCCGGAAUUACUGGGUGUAACGGGAGCGUAGGCGGGACUGCAAGUUGGGUGUCAAAUCUACCGGCUCAACCGGUAGCCGCACUCAAAACUGCAGUUCUUGAGUGAAGUAGAGGCCGGCGGAAUUCCUAGUGUAGCGGUGAAAUGCGUAGAUAUUAGGAGGAACACCAGUGGCGAAGGCGGCCUGCUGGGCUUUUACUGACGCUGAGGCUCGAAAGUGUGGGGAGCAAACAGGAUUAGAUACCCUUGUAGUC
rnacentral:rRNA from 1 species